GAAAGGAACGGUGAAAUGCAUCUUCUCUCUCAUUGUAUUACAGCAAGCGAAAUAAAACAAACAAGUGGUCUCCUUCCUUCUUGAUUUCUUUCUUUAAAAAACAUUUUUCAAUUAAUAUUUUCAUGAGCAGUAAUCAAACAAAACAAACAAGAUCAACUUUUCAACCAUGGAUCGAGGAAAAGAAUGAGGUUACCGUAACGCUUCCGGAUCUACGAAGAUGAUAGAAGAUUGGAUAUUUGGCGGUGGUUUGACGGCGUAUUGGAUCGAUUCUCUGGUGUUUUCGUGGUCGCGAUCUGGUGGAGGAGGCGACUCUCUUUUUUCGGUCCCGAUUCACGGUUAUCGUCCCUCCUUUUAUACUCACCCUGCUAGGGUUUUGAUUUGGCUUACUGCAAUCAAAAGGGUAUCCCACUUGGGAGUGCUUGAGGUGCUCCAGUUUGUCUACCCUAUUUUGGUGUUUGAUUCGAAAAAGAUAACACGAACCCUGUACUUUCUCAUCUUGAAUUUGUCUCGAUUCCUUUUGGGUCGCUUGUGGACUUUUACCGCCGGUAAAAGGCUAUUUACCACUGCGAAUUUACCGGAAUAUAACAUGUGUGGUUUGGCGCUCGCAGGAUCAUGUUGUUUGCAGCAUUUUGUUCAAUGAAAUAAUCCUUUUCUGUGGUAGAUUCAUUGCUGCCUUCAACAUAAAAUGGAUUCUCAGAGCUAUUGUCAGGUGUAUGUUCAUUGCUUCUCAUCUUGGUAAGCUCGCUGAUACGGAGUUGAGCAAGGCUGGCUGCUGAACGAGCUACUGCUACAACAUCUUGCAAGUCCAAAUUAGCUUCAGAUUUUGCAGUUUGAUAAAAAGGGAGCUGAGUAAUUGUUGGUUGGCACCAUGAGAGGGAUUCAUAUCAAAGGCUUGGAUUUUGGACUCCUCUUGUCUUGUAAAAGAAAAUCUUGAUUGAUUGGUUUGAACAUUCCAAGAACUAGAUUUCUUUAGCGGACCAUUCUGAUUUUCGGUGCCGUCACUUAACAGCUUCUCCAAAUCAUCCCAGGCAUCAAACUCCAGAAUAGCCAUUGCAUAAUGCUUUAGAUCCACGAAACUGGGAUUCAUACCCAACUUCAAUAUUUGCGGCUAAAGAAACAAUAUUUACAACGGUGCAAGGUUCACCAUGCUGCAGAGGAUGAGGAUUAUUAUGAUUUGUAAAAGCUGCAUUUCAUUUAUCCAUGACUGCUGUCUAAGAAAAGACUGAAGCCUGCCUGAUUAUCAACUGAAUUAGUUCUCGCGCAAUCACAGAGGUCAGUACUUGCAAGAAAGCCCUUGUGGAGCCAAGAAUAUGUGUUGAUGGCGACGAUACAGACGUGAAGGUCUGCAUAUGAGCUCUUGAGCGCUCAUGUGCCUCCACUACCUUUUUGUUGGUUUUUUGGCGUUGAGUGUUGUAUUUGUGCUAUUAUCUUGCUGAUGUAUUUUCUUAUCAUUUAAAAACAGGAAAUGCGUUUUAUGCUCGAGCAUUCUCCGAUUCUACAAGCUGGCUUGUGUCCGGACUUGCCGCAAGGGAAAAGCGGGCUCACGCGGUUUGAAGAUGAACAACAUAUGCACGUGAAAUUCAAAGUGAGGCCAUGUAACACAAGCAUCAAUGAAGACCGGAGCCAAGUUGUUUCAACAGGGGUUCUUCAAAACAGAGACAGGUGCCAUUCCUAAAGCCGCAAACGAUUCGCGUCUUUUGCUCUUCCUUUCCAACUAAGCGCAAAGAGACAUUAAUCACGCAUUACCAUAUCGAGAUUGAGCUUUGGUUAUUGUAAGGUGCGGAUAAUCCAGUGGUUACACUUAGCGCAGCUUUAUAAUAUGAAGCAAACAACAGCUGCCAUGUUCCAUUUCAUGUACAUAUUUCCAAGAUUGGUCAACGCUUGUGGGAGGUUGGGCUGUACUAAAAGGCAUUGAUUGCAGCCAUCGUUUUGGAUAUGUUCAUUCGUGUUUUGUCGUGGCAGCUAGGGUCGUUUAGCUGGUGUUGUUGUACUACUUGGUAACUUUGGAUUACUUGCAGUGUUGGAUGUUACUGCUUCUGUUUUCCACUGGCAGCUUUUUUCAAUUGCAUUUUCUUUUAUUUUUUUAGUGUAAAUUGCUUAAUGGUUUAAGUGAUUUUAUUCCAAUUCCUAUUUUUUGGUGUAAUGGCUUUAGUGCGCAUCAUCCUCACUAUAUGACUUUGUACAAAACUUUGCAUUACCAUAGUUAAGAGGGAAAUCCUCCUUGCAGCAUACACACUGAAGUGUGUAGAAGGUUACAAGUUUAGAACCUCUUAGGACUUGAAAUGAACAAAACGCUCAUUGUGAAUGAGCAAGAAAAUGAUGCUUUCUGUAAUAAAACCAAGUCAUUUCUUUGUGUUUUAGGACUUUCAUGUAUUCAUAUGAUGAUGUUUUAAGGUUAUGAAUUAAUCACUUGCCAUGAAAAUGACGGUUGUGAGUGGAUGGAUGUGAUAAAAAUGAAUGAAGUAGCUGAAACACGAAUGAGUA